UACGAAGGUCCCAAGCGUUAUCCGGAUUUAUUGGGUUUAAAGGGUGCGUAGGCGGCUUAUUAAGUCAGUGGUGAAAGCCCCAAGCUUAACUUGGGAACUGCCAUUGAUACUGAUGAGCUUGAGUAGAUUUGAGGCGGGCGGAAUGUGUCGUGUAGCGGUGAAAUGCUUAGAUAUGACACAGAACACCGAUUGCGUAGGCAGCUCGCUAAACUCUUACUGACGCUGAGGCACGAAAGCAUGGGGAUCAAACAGG
rnacentral:rRNA from 1 species